CAGUCGCCGCGGUAAUACAGAGGAUGCAAGCGUUAUCCGGAAUGAUUGGGCGUAAAGCGUGCGCAGGCGGUUGUGUAAGACAGGUGUGAAAUCCCCGGGCUUAACCUGGGAACUGCGCUUGUGACUGCACAGCUAGAGUAUGGCAGAGGGGGGUGGAAUUCCACGUGUAGCAGUGAAAUGCGUAGAGAUGUGGAGGAACACCGAUGGCGAAGGCAGCCCCCUGGGCCAAUACUGACGCUCAUGCACGAAAGCGUGGGGAGCAAACAGGAUUAGAUACCCCUGUAGUCCCUGUCUCUUAUAC
rnacentral:rRNA from 1 species